rnacentral:snRNA from 1 species
AUCUAUUCUUAUCAUUUGAAUAUCUGAUAUGUCCUUUAUUUGAGGACUGUACAUUAAAUUGAUUUUUGAAAUAGGGGGAUGGAAUAGGAGCUUGCUCUGUCCACCCCAUGCAUCGACCUGGUGUUGCAGUGCCUCCAGGAACAGUGC